rnacentral:rRNA from 1 species
GACGAACGCUGGCGGCGUGCCUAAUACAUGCAAGUAGGACGCAGUUGCGAACGGGUGAGUAACGCGUAGGUAACUGCCUCUUAGAGGGGGAUAACUCUUGGUAACGCUAGCUAAUACCGCAUACUAGUAGCUGGACCUGCGUUGUAUUAGCUAGGAGGUAGGGUAAUGGCCUACCUAGGCAACGAUACAUAGCCGACCUGAGAGGGGGAGCGGCCACACUGGGACUGAGACACGGCCCAGACUCCUACGGGAGGCAGCAGUAGGGAAUCUUCGGCAAUGGGGGGAACCCUGACCGAGCAACGCCGCGUGAGUGAAGAAGGUUUUCGGAUCGUAAAGCUCUGUUGUUAAGGAAGCGGUACUUAACCAGAAAGGGACGGCUAACUACGUGCCAGCAGCCGCGGUAAUAC